UACGGAGGGGGCUAGCGUUGUUCGGAAUUACUGGGCGUAAAGCGUACGUAGGCGGCUUUGUAAGUUAGAGGUGAAAGCCCGGGGCUUAACCCCGGAAUUGCCUUUAAGACUGCAUCGCUUGAAUCAUGGAGAGGUGAGUGGAAUUCCGAGUGUAGAGGUGAAAUUCGUAGAUAUUCGGAAGAACACCAGUGGCGAAGGCGACUCACUGGACAUGUAUUGACGCUGAGGUACGAAAGCGUGGGGAGCAAACAGG
rnacentral:rRNA from 2 species